rnacentral:rRNA from 1 species
ACUGGAUGUUGGGUCAACUUGGACCGAGUAUCGAAGCUAACGCGUUAAGUUCGCCGCCUGGGGAGUACGGUCGCAAGACUGAAACUCAAAGGAAUUGACGGGGGCCUGCACAAGCGGUGGGAGUAUGUGGUUUAAUUCGAUGCAACGCGAAGAACCUUACCUGGUCUUGACAUCCACGGAACUUUCCAGAGAUGGAUUGGUGCCUUCGGGAACCGUGAGACAGGUGCUGCAUGGGUGUCGUCAGCUCGUGUCGUGAGAUGUU